CAAAAAUCUUUGCAUAACAAAUUGCAGGUUAAUCAGUAAGUAUUAAAUCUUGAUGACAAAUUCAAGGCGCAGUAACUUUCUUGACAUUUUUUUGUCAAACUACAGAGGCUUCUGUUCCCUUUUUCAUGACUCUUUUGAUGGAGAAUGUCAGCUGCCAGCAAACAUCAGAAUGACAAUGGUAGCUCUCAUCACUUUUAUUUGUCCUGACAAAGUAGGAAAAUAAAGAAAACCUAAUGGAGAGCUGGAAACUCGUCAUAGUGUACUAGCUGGGAUUCACAUUCACAUCCUUCAUCGUGGAAAGACUUCUAAACAAAGAAGUUUCUGGCUUCAGUGUCACCAGAAUUAACAAGGAACUUAAUACAUUCUUUCUUGAUAAGCAUCAUUUCCAUAUCUUGACGUGCAUCAUUUACAUUCACUAUUUUGAGUUUCUUUAACCAUUCAU
rnacentral:misc_RNA from 1 species